rnacentral:rRNA from 1 species
GUAGGGAAUAUUGGACAAUGGGCGAAAGCCUGAUCCAGCCAUGCCGCGUGUGUGAAGAAGGUCUUCGGAUUGUAAAGCACUUUAAGUUGGGAGGAAGGGCAGUAAGUUAAUACCUUGCUGUUUUGACGUUACCAACAGAAUAAGCACCGGCUAACUUCGUGCCAGCAGCCGCGGUAAUACGAAGGGUGCAAGCGUUAAUCGGAAUUACUGGGCGUAAAGCGCGCGUAGGUGGUUCAGCAAGUUGGAGGUGAAAUCCCCGGGCUAAACCUGGGAACUGCCUCCAAAACUACUGAGCUAGAGUACGGUAGAGGGUAGUGGAAUUUCCUGUGUAGCGGUGAAAUGCGUAGAUAUAGGAAGGAACACCAGUGGCGAAGGCGACUACCUGGACUGAUACUGACACUGAGGUGCGAAAGCGUGGGGAGCAAACAGGAUUAGAAACCCUGGUAGUCC